GCCGGGAUGGCAGAGUUGGUCAACGCACGCGUCUGAAAAACGCGCAAUGUCGGUUCGAUUCCGACUCCCGGCA
rnacentral:tRNA from 1 species